rnacentral:misc_RNA from 1 species
GGUGAUGUCAUGGUAUGGGAGUUGGGUAGCAGGGAGAGGAUUGCUAUCAAGAAUUUUAAGGUUUGGGACAGUGCACGCUCAGUGGGUCUGCAGGCAUCUCUCACCAGUGACUAUGUUUCAGUUAACCGUGUGGUUUGGAGUCCUGAUGGAUCUCUUUUUGGUGUUGCAUACUCUAAGCACAUUGUGCACCUAUAUUCAUACCAUGGCGGUGAUGAUGUAAAAAACUACCGUGAGAUUGAAGCACAUGUUGGGAGUGUUAGUGAUCUUGCCUUCUCUUAUCCAAAUAAGCGACUAAGUGUUGUCACUUGUGGCGAGGACAGGGUUAUUAAGGUUUGGGAUCCAGUUACAGGAAAUCCAAAUUUUACUUUUGAGGGUCAUGAAGCACCUGUAUAUUCUGUCUGUCCACAUCACAAGGAAGAUAUUCAGUUUAUCUUUUCAACGGCUACUGAUGGAAAGAUAAAGGCAUGGUUGUAUGAUAACCUGGGUUCUAGAGUUGACUAUGAUGCGCCAGGCCACUCCCCUACCACAAUGGCAUACAGUGCUGAUGGAACAAGGUUAUUCUCAUGUGGCACAAACAAAGGAGGAGAAUCGCACUUGGUGGAGUGGAAUGAAAGUGAAGGAACUGUUAAGCGUGCUUAUAUUGGUCUUGGUAAACGAUCUGUGGGAGUUGUCCAAUUUGAUACCACUAAGAAUCGCUUCUUGGCUGCGGGUGAUGAGUUUGCAGUUAAAUUCUGGGACAUGGACAAUGUCAACCUGUUGACAAGCAUUGAUGCAGAGGGUGGAUUGCCGGCUUCUCCUUGUAUUAGAUUCAACAAGGAAGGGGCAUUGUUAGCUGUCUCAACAAAUGACAAUAGCAUUAAAAUUCUAGCCAAUUCAGAUGGUAUCAGGCUGCUACGGACGGUAGAGAAUCGUACAUUUGAUGCUUCUAGAGCUGCUUCUGCUGCUGUUGUGAAGGCACCAGCAAUAAGCAAUUUUACUUCUGUCAAUGCUACUGUUGGAACCAGCAUUUUGGAUAGAGCUGCUCCUGUGACGCCUGUGGUUGGAAUAACGAGUAACAGUGAUAGUCGAAGUUUGGUUGAUGUGAAACCUAGAAUUGCAGAUGANNNNGCCAGUUGAAGCCUCUAGAACCUGGAAAUUGACAGAAAUAAAUGAACCAUCACAGUGCCGCUCUCUGAGGCUCCCUGACAAUUUGACAGCCAUGAGGGUUUCUAGAUUGAUUUAUACAAAUUCAGGACUUGCUAUAUUGGCAUUAGCAUCAAAUGCAGUGCACAAACUCUGGAAAUGGCAGAGAAAUGAUCGAAAUC